UACGAAGGGGGCUAGCGUUGCUCGGAAUCACUGGGCGUAAAGGGUGCGUAGGCGGGUCUUUAAGUCAGGGGUGAAAUCCUGGAGCUCAACUCCAGAACUGCCUUUGAUACUGAGGAUCUUGAGUUCGGGAGAGGUGAGUGGAACUGCGAGUGUAGAGGUGAAAUUCGUAGAUAUUCGGAAGAACACCAGUGGCGAAGGCGACUCGCUGGACAGACAUUGACGCUGAGGUGCGAAAGCGUGGGGAGCAAACAGG
rnacentral:rRNA from 1 species